UCUUCCUCACGCCCAAGAGUUGGGCAUCCUUGGUUCCCAUGCCCAAGGAUUGGGUGCCUUCUUUCUUUUACGCGCCAAGCUUUAAGGUGCUGAUUUGAGAGAAGGAGUUCUCUCAUCUUCUUCAUACUCUUUUAAAGAUUGCUUGCUAGUUUCUUGGUGAAGAAAUAAAAGAAAAGUUUUUCUAGAUCUAUCCUGUGGAUAUCUGUAGAGGUCGGAUACUUGUACGACUCAAAAAUAAUCGAGAAGUUAUCCACGAUCAUCAAUUACGGUGAAUAACUAUCCACGCAAAGGUGAAGAUGAGAUAUUCAUGAUUUUUACUGUAAUAAAAUUUUAUUUGCUGCAUAUAGAUC
rnacentral:lncRNA from 1 species